CUACGGGGCGCACCAGUGAGGAAUAUUGCACAAUGGAGGAAACUCUGAUGCAGCAACGCCGCGUGGAGGAUGACGCAUUUCGGUGUGUAAACUCCUUUUAUGAGUCAAGAAAAUGACGGUAGCUCAUGAAUAAGCACCGGCUAACUCCGUGCCAGCAGCCGCGGUAAUACGGAGGGUGCAAGCGUUACUCGGAAUCACUGGGCGUAAAGGACGCGUAGGCGGGAGAUCAAGUCAGGUGUGAAAUCCUACAGCUUAACUGUAGAACUGCACUUGAAACUGGUAACCUAGAGUAUGGGAGGGGGAGAUGGAAUUAGUGGUGUAGCGGUAAAAUCCGUAGAUAUCACUAGGAAUACCUAAAGCGAAGGCGAUCUCCUGGAACAUUACUGACGCUAAGGCGUGAAAGCGUGGGGAGCAAACAGGAUUAGAUACCCGUGUAGUC
rnacentral:rRNA from 1 species